rnacentral:rRNA from 1 species
AAGAAAGUAAAUAAGGGCGCAUGGCGGAUGCCUUGGCUCUCGGAGGCGAUGAAGGACGUGAUAAGCUGCGAUAAGCUUCGGGUAGGUGCAAAUGACCUUUGAUCCGAAGAUUUCCGAAUGGGACAACCCGGCAUUCUGAAGGAAUGUCAUCCAACUUUGUUGGAGGCUAACGCAGGGAACUGAAACAUCUUAGUACCUGCAGGAAAAGAAAAUAAAUAAUGAUUCCCCUAGUAGUGGCGAGCGAACGGGGAUUAGCCCAAACCACCCAUGUUACGGCAUGUGUGGGGUUGUAGGACCACGCUCUCGCAAGACAGUUAUUGAGAAGAAACGACUGGAAAGUCGUGCCAUAGACGGUGAUAGCCCGGUAUUCUAAGGUAACCGAAGCGUAGUGGUAUCCUGAGUAGCGCGGAGCACGAGGAAUUCUGCGUGAAUCAGCCGGGACCAUCCGGUAAGGCUAAAUACUCCCGAGAGACCGAUAGCGAACCAGUACUGUGAAGGAAAGGUGAAAAGCACUUCGAAUAGAAGAGUGAAAUAGUCCCUGAAACCAUGCGCCUACAAGCGGUCGGAGCAGCUUCAGCUGUGACGGCGUGCCUUUUGCAUAAUGAACCUACGAGUUACUUUUUCCGGCAAGGUUAAGCAUCUUGAGAUGUGGAUCCGAAGCGAAAGCGAGUCUGAACAGGGCGGAUAGUCGGAAGGAGUAGACGCGAAACCAAGUGAUCUACCCUUGGGCAGGUUGAAGGUUAGGUAACACUAACUGGAGGACCGAACCGAUAAGCGUUGAAAAGCUUCCGGAUGACCUGAGGGUGGGGGUGAAAGGCUAAUCAAACUUGGAGAUAGCUCGUACUCCCCGAAAUGCAUUUAGGUGCAGCCUUGAGAGUUACUAAUGUGAGGUAGAGCGACUGAUAAGAUGCGAGGGCUUCACCGCCUAUCAAGUCUUGAUAAACUCCGAAUGCGCAUUAGUUCUAUCUCAGGAGUGAGGGCAUGGGUGCUAAGGUCCAUGUCCUAAAGGAGAAGAAUCCAGACCAUCAGCUAAGGUCCCCAAAUAAACACUAAGUUGAACUAACGAAGUCAGAUUGCUAAGACAGCUAGGAUGUUGGCUUGGAAGCAGCCAUUCAUUUAAAGAGUGCGUAACAGCUCACUAGUCGAGGAGUUUGGCGUGGAUAAUAAUCGGGCAU